GUCCCCCUCCGCCGGUCGAGAUAUGUCACGUCGCAGGCUUUGUCGCCCCAUGUGACACGUGGGGCAGACAUCCUCCCGUGGUUGAAGUAUUUCCUCCAUGAAGUAAAUUUUUUAAAGUUGUAAAGGGUGUAAAUUUGGAAAAUCACAUUUUUACUUGCAGAAAAUAGUGUCUAUCUCCAGAAGGGUUUUUUUAGCAAGAAAAUAAAGAGUAAAAAAAAAAA